rnacentral:rRNA from 1 species
UGGGGAGUAUUGCACAAUGGGGGAGGACCCUGAUGCAGCGACGCCGCGUGAGGGAAGACGGUUUUCGGAUUGUAAACCUCUGUCUUCAGGGAAGAAAGAAAUGACGGUACCUGGAGAGGAAGCCACGGCUAACUACGUGCCAGCAGCCGCGGUAAUACGUAGGUGGCAAGCGUUGUCCGGAAUUAUUGGGUGUAAAGGGAGCGUAGGCGGGUGGACAAGUUGAAUGUGAAAGAGACAGGCUCAACCUGUUGUUGCGUUCAAAACUGUACAUCUUGAGUGAAGUAGAGGCAGGCGGAAUUCCUAGUGUAGCGGUGAAAUGCGUAGAUAUUAGGAGGAACACCAGUGGCGAAGGCGGCCUGCUGGGCUGUAACUGACGCUGAGGCUCGAAAGCGUGGGUAGCAAACAGGAUUAGAUAACC